UACGUAGGGACCGAGCGUUGUCCGGAAUCAUUGGGCGUAAAGCGCGUGUAGGCGGCUCGGUAAGUCUGCUGUGAAAGUCCAGGGCUCAACCCUGGAAAGCCGGUGGAAACUGUCGAGCUAGAGUCCGGAAGAGGCGAGUGGAAUUCCUGGUGUAGCGGUGAAAUGCGCAGAUAUCAGGAGGAACACCAAUGGCGAAGGCAGCGCGCUGGGACGGUACUGACGCUGAGACGCGAAAGCGUGGGGAGCAAACAGG
rnacentral:rRNA from 1 species